GACGAACGUUGGCGGCGUGCUUAAUACAUGCAAGUCAACUGAAGCAGUGGUAGCAAUAUCGCUGUGGAGGUGGCGCACGGGUGAGUAACACGUAGGUAAUCUGCCUUCAGGUCUGGCAUAGCUCCGGGAAACCGGGGCUAAUAGCAGAUGAUGCAGCGGCUCGACAUCGAGACAGUUGUUAAAGCUAUGGCGCCUGAAGAUGAGCCUGCGUCUGAUUAGCUAGUUGGCGGGGUAACGGCCCACCAAGGCAACGAUCAGUAGCUGGUCUGAGAGGAUGAUCAGCCACACUGGAACUGAGACACGGUCCAGACUACUACGGGAGGCAGCAGUAAGGAAUAUUGCUCAAUGGGAGAAAUCCUGAAGCAGCAACGCCGCGUGAGGGACGAAGGGCUUUUGCUUGUAAACCUCUGUAGUGAGAGAAAAAAAUCCCAAUCUUUGGGACAUGAUGGUAUCUCAAAAGUAAGCCCCGGCUAACUACGUG
rnacentral:rRNA from 1 species